rnacentral:tRNA from 1 species
UCUUUUUUAGUAUAAUAAGUACACUUCUUUUCCACAGAAAAAGUUUAAUUUAAAAAAAGAA